UACGUAGGGUGCGAGCGUUGUCCGGAAUUAUUGGGCGUACAGGGCUCGUAGGCGGUUUGUCGCGUCGGGGGUGAAAACCUUGGGCUUAACUCAGGGCUUGCUUUCGAUACGGGCAGACUAGAGGUAUGCAGGGGAGAACGGAAUUCCUGGUGUAGCGGUGAAAUGCGCAGAUAUCAGGAGGAACACCGGUGGCGAAGGCGGUUCUCUGGGCAUGAUCUGACGCUGAGGAGCGAAAGUGUGGGGAGCGAACAGG
rnacentral:rRNA from 1 species